UAGCCUGCCCACUGAUAAUUAAAAUUUAAUGGCCGCGGUAUUUAUGACCGUGCAAAGGUAGCAUAAUCAUUAGUCUUUUAAUUGAAGGCUUGUAUGAAUGGUUGGACAAAAGGAAAACUGUCUUCUUUUAUAAGGAUUGAAUUUAACUUUUAAGUGAAAAGGCUUAAAUAUUUCAAAGGGACAAUAAGACCCUAUAAAGCUUUAUAUAAAGCAAAAUUUAGAUUGAAGUAUUUAGCUUUAAAGGUUAAGGUUUGUAAUUAUAUUGAGUUGGGGCAACAAGAGUAUAAUUAAUUUAGUAACUGCUAAUGAGAUGUAUACAAGUAUAUUUGUAUUAGGAUAAAUGAUCCUUAAUUAAAGAUUAAAAGAUUAAGUUACUUUAGGGAUAACAGCGUUAUUUUUUUUGAGAGUUCAUAUCGAAAAAAGAGUUUGCGACCUCGAUGUUGAAUUAAAAUUUCUAUGUGGUGCAGUUGUUAUAUAAGAGGGUCUGUUCGACCUUUAAUUUUUUACAUGAUUUGAGUUCAGACCGGUGUGAGCC
rnacentral:rRNA from 1 species